GCUGAGGACCUCCAUCUCUGCGUUUUCGAGCAUCAUGACGACUUCAGUGAAAGGGGGGCGCACGUCUGGGUUUGCAUCCCAACAGCGGGUCAUGAUUUCGCCCAGCACAGGGAGGCAGUCUGGUGGGACGAUCGGUCGAGCGCCUUUGUUGACAACGGCAAAUGCUGCUUGGACGGCUGUCAUGUUCUGGAAGGGGAGCAUGCCGGUUAUUAGCUCCCAG
rnacentral:misc_RNA from 1 species